rnacentral:misc_RNA from 1 species
AUCCAAUUCUUCUCUGUUUAUAUUUCUAUCCGACUAAAGGUAAACAAAGAGAGAGAAAAAUCUAUGUUCCUUUACACAAUGUUUAUAUUGAGAUGAGACAAAGCAGGUUUCUGAGAUGCAUAGAGUAGAGAGUAUAGAAGGGUUCUCUAUGUACUGACUUCUCCACUCAAACCCAACCCGCCUUUUUAUAGAACUAUCCUACAAGAAAUAAGAAACAAACACUUCUCCGCACGCAUAUUAUCCAACCCAUCCCAGACUCUAUAGAAAUAUAUUGUGAAAUUACAAGAAAGGCUCCUCCGCGCAAGCCCAACCCGGCGUUUUAAGUAAUUAUUUAACAAAAAUUAUGAGAAUGGUUCCAUCUCUUAAUAAGGCUUUUCCGCUCAAAUCUAACCAGGUGUAGCGUAAGAUAUAGACCAGGGUAAUAUUUGGUCCGGGUGCAAUACAAAGACGACCUAAGCAAAGACGAUACAGUAUAUAAAACUAUCAACGGCAUUAGUAAACAAACACAUUUAAAAUUUUAGUCUGCAAAAGAGCGGUAAGAGCGGUAAUUUCCUAUAAAUUUUGUACAUUGAUUUCACAUGUAACACAUGGAUACAAUUGUUCAUGUGGCCGCAGCUCCUGGCCCCCUUCUCUGUUCUAGCCUUUGUCCCCGUUUCUCAUAAUCAUAAAUUACAUAUUUAGAACACAACAAUUGAUAAAAUGUUGAAUUCUGAAACCGGAGAUUGGCCUGUUCUUGGGGGUAGGGGAAAAGAAGCAGAAGUUGGAAAGAUUCGAAAGGGCAGACAUAUUGGUGGAAUUGUCAAAGGGAGUAAAAAAUGGAAAAAAAUUUUAACUUUUGGAAUUGUGGACUUGAAAGGAAAAAUGCUGAGAAAGGAGGAAGGGGGAGGUGGAGAAAAUGUUGAAGACUAUGUUGACCAUGGAGUAGAUGGUGGGGCUAGUGACGAUUGUCAGGAUUCAACCUCACAGAAAAGCAGAGUUUAAAAGUUUGAUGCAAACCAAAAAUAUAUUUUGAAUGAGGAACGGAAAAUGCUGAGAAAAGAGUCUUCGGUUUUUGAAUGAGAAAGGGGAAAUUCUGAGAAAGGUGGAAGGGGGAGGUGGAGAAAAUGUUGAAGACUGUGGUGACCAUGGAGAAGAUGGAGACGAUUGUCAGGGCACAACCUCUAUGAUAAACAGCUCAUGGUCUUUGAAUGAGGAGAGAAUCCUUCGAUUUGAAACAGAAAAACUGAAGCUGGAGAGAGUUCAGCAAUACAUAAUGAAGAAAACCUAUCCUAAAGAGUUCUCAGAAGUUGAGAGGAGAACAUUAAGAAAGCAGGCGAAGAGUUUUUAUGUAGACACAGAUGAUGUCCUCCAUUUUAAAGACAAAUCUUUAAAAAGGAAAGUUAUUUUCACCCUGAGCGAGGCAAAAGAUGUUCUUUGGCUUUAUCAUUCAAAUUCGAUGGCAGGAGGACAUUCUGGCUUAAAUAAUACUAGAAUUAAAAUUUCUACCUUCUAUUACUGGAAGGGGAUUUCAGUGGACGUCACUGAGUAUGUAAGUAUGUUUAAUUAAUCGUUAUUGAAUUAUGCAA